UCUCGUUGGUGACAGCGGAGGGAUCAUUACCGAGUUUUACAACUCCCAAACCCAAUGUGAACCAUACCAAACUGUUGCCUCGGCGGGGUCACGCCCCGGGUGCGUCGCAGCCCCGGAACCAGGCGCCCGCCGGAGGGACCAACCAAACUCUUUCUGUAGUCCCCUCGCGGACGUUAUUUCUUACAGCUCUGAGCAAAAAUUCAAAAUGAAUCAAAACUUUCAACAACGGAUCUCUUGGUUCUGGCAUCGAUGAAGAACGCAGCGAAAUGCGAUAAGUAAUGUGAAUUGCAGAAUUCAGUGAAUCAUCGAAUCUUUGAACGCACAUUGCGCCCGCCAGUAUUCUGGCGGGCAUGCCUGUCCGAGCGUCAUUUCAACCCUCGAACCCCUCCGGGGGGUCGGCGUUGGGGAUCGGGAACCCCUAAGACGGGAUCCCGGCCCCGAAAUACAGUGGCGGUCUCGCCGCAGCCUCUCCUGCGCAGUAGUUUGCACAACUCGCACCGGGAGCGCGGCGCGUCCACGUCCGUAAAACACCCAACUUCUGAAAUGUUGACCUCGGAUCAGGUAGGAAUACCCGCUGAACUUAAGCAUAUCAAUAAGGCGGGAGGAA
rnacentral:rRNA from 1 species